rnacentral:tRNA from 1 species
CAGGGAAUAGUUUAAAUAGAAUAUUAAUUUUGGAGAUUAAAGGUGGAGGUAUAUCUUUCUCUGA